rnacentral:rRNA from 1 species
UACGGAGGAUGCGAGCGUUAUCCGGAUUUAUUGGGUUUAAAGGGUGCGCAGGCGGAAUGUCAAGUCAGCGGUCAAAUUGCGGGGCUCAACCCCGUACUGCCGUUGAAACUGGCGUUCUUGAGUGAGCGAGAAGUAUGCGGAAUGCGUGGUGUAGCGGUGAAAUGCAUAGAUAUCACGCAGAACCCCGAUUGCGAAGGCAGCAUACCGGCGCUCAACUGACGCUGAGGCACGAAAGCGUGGGGAGCAAACAGG